rnacentral:rRNA from 1 species
UACAGAGACCUCAAGCGUUAUCCGGAAUCAUUGGGCGUAAAGCGUACCGAUAGGUGGUUAUACAAGUCAGAAGUGAAAUCUCCGAGCUCAACUCGGAAUCUGUCUUUUGAAACUGUAUGACUAGAGGGGCAAAGAGGAAGCCGGAACGAACGGUGUAGUAGUGAAAUGCGUUGAUAUCGUUCGGAACACCAAUAGCGAAGGCGAGCUUCUGGGUGCCACCUGACACUGCUAGGACGAAAGCGUGGGGAGCGAAUGGG